AACGCUGGCGGCAUGCCUAAUACAUGCAAGUUGAACGGGAAGUAGCAAUACUUCUAGUAGCGAACGGGUGAGUAAUACAUGAGUAAUCUGCCUCUUUGAUGGGGAUAACUGAUCGAAAGAUUAGCUAAUACCGAAUAUACUGAUUGAGAUGCAUAUUUUAAUGAGGAAAAGNUAAAAAUCGCAGAGAGAUGAGCUCAUGGCGCAUUAGCUAGUUGGUGGGGUAAGGGCCUACCAAGGCGACGAUGCGUAGCCGACCUGAGAGGACGGUCCCCCACACUGGUACUGAGACACGGACCAGACUCCUACGGGAGGCAGCAGUAAGGAAUAUUGGGCAAUGGAGGCAACUCUGACCCAGCCAUGCCGCGUGAAGGAUGGAGGCCCUACGGGUCGUAAACUUCUUUUGUCAGGGAAUAAAGUCGCCUACGUGUAGGCGUUUGCAGGUACCUGAAGAAUAAGCAUCGGCUAACUCCGUG
rnacentral:rRNA from 1 species